rnacentral:rRNA from 1 species
UGCAGUCGAGGGGUAGAGUUCUUCGGAACUUGAGACCGGCGCACGGGUGCGUAACGCGUAUGCAAUCUACCUUUUACAGAGGGAUAGCCCAGAGAAAUUUGGAUUAAUACCUCAUAGUAUAUAGCCCUGGCAUCAGGAUUAUAUUAAAGUCACAACGGUAAAAGAUGAGCAUGCGUCCCAUUAGCUAGUUGGUAAGGUAACGGCUUACCAAGGCUACGAUGGGUAGGGGUCCUGAGAGGGAGAUCCCCCACACUGGUACUGAGACACGGACCAGACUCCUACGGGAGGCAGCAGUGAGGAAUAUUGGACAAUGGGCGCAAGCCUGAUCCAGCCAUGCCGCGUGCAGGAUGACGGUCCUAUGGAUUGUAAACUGCUUUUAUACGAGAAGAAACACUCCAACGUGUUGGAGCUUGACGGUAUCGUAAGAAUAAGGAUCGGCUAACUCCGUGCCAGCAGCCGCGGUAAUACGGAGGAUCCAAGCGUUAUCCGGAAUCAUUGGGUUUAAAGGGUCCGUAGGCGGUUUAAUAAGUCAGUGCUGAAAGCCCAUCGCUCAACGGUGGAACGGCCAUUGAUACUGUUAAACUUGAAUUAUUAGGAAGUAACUAGAAUGUGUAGUGUAGCGGUGAAAUGCUUAGAGAUUACAUGGAAUACCAAUUGCGAAGGCAGGUUACUACUAAUGGAUUGACGCUGAUGGACGAAAGCGUGGGUAGCGAACAGGAUUAGAUACCCUGGUAGUCCACGCCGUANACGAUGGAUACUAGCUGUUGGAAGCAAUUUCAGUGGCUAAGCGAAAGUGAUAAGUAUCCCACCUGGGGAGUACGUUCGCAAGAAUGAAACUCAAAGGAAUUGACGGGGGCCCGCACAAGCGGUGGAGCAUGUGGUUUUAUUCGAUGAUACGCGAGGAACCUU